CUAGAAGUAACAGCUGAAAUAAUUGAGAAAGCCGCGGCAUCAAUCAGAGAACGAGACAAAAAUAACCAUAAUAAUCCUGAUGAAGUGUCACUGCUGGCUGGGCUGAAAAAGAUAGAGUCUGAAAUAGAAAAAAAGCUUACCACAAUGCAGACUCUCGUGCAACAACGACUGGACUCAUUUGAGUCCAGGAUGGAGGAGAAUUUAAUGCAUAUAGAGUCCUAUGUAGAAAGAAGACUAACUUCGCUAACGAAUGAUGUAAAAACCCAGUUUGCUUCGCAUGAGAAAACUUGUGUUUUGAAAAAGUGCCAUGUGAAAAUAAGUGUAUGUGAACCACAGGGCGAACGAAGUGAAAAAGUGAAACGGCACAAGGAUCAAACCCCAAUGCGACGUGCUAGAGGAAAGAGAAUAGUAAACCAUACCGAAAACGUUUGUCGACGGCAAGCUGCAAACAUUAUGAGCUUCCUGAAAAAUGAGAUGAUUCCAAAACUCAAUCGCCUGGAAUACGUUGUGAAACAAAACUCUGAAAAGUACAGUGAAGAUGUAAUAAGGCUUGUCGAAGAAAGAACAAGUAGUUUGGAGGAUAUCAUGACCUCUACCGGCUACUGUCGAGUUAGCGAAAUAGACACUACGCUUUGUGAGAGUGAUUGUUACGACGGGCUCGAUGGGUCAGGUUUUACCGGUUCGUGAACGCACACUGCAGUAUGUUUUGUUCAAAGUCCAUCCUCUUUUAAUGUCAUUUUUUUGUUUUUGAAAUACGCGAAGACGAUCUUUGGAACUUGCAAUGGACAAAUAAUGUUGACGUACUUGGGAGCUCCGGAUUUCGGAUUUGAUGAACUUUCGAACAACUCCCAUGAUUCGAUGCGCUGCACGAAUAAUCUUUAUAUUAAGCUUUCGUCUUUAACCUUUAAGCUUUAACGUCUUUAAAUAAAAUAACAAAAGGAAAAGGAUG